rnacentral:snRNA from 1 species
AUCGCUUCUCGGCCUUUUGGCUCAGAUCAAGUGUAGUAUCUGUUCUUAUCAGUUUAAUAUCUGAUACGUCCCCCAUCGGGGGACUACAUAUUAAAUGGAUUUUUCGAACAGGGAGUCGGAAAUGGGGCUUGCUCCGUCCGGCUUCCACGCAUCGACCCGGUAUUGCAGUACCUCCGGGAACGGUGCAACACUU